CGUGAAGCUGGAUUCGCUAGUAAUCGCGCAUCAGCCAUGGCGCGGUGAAUACGUUCCCGGGUCUUGUACACACCGCCCGUCACACCAUGGGAGUCGGGAAUGCCCGAAGUCAGUGACCCAACCAUAUGGAGGGAGCUGCCGAAGGCAGGUCUGAUAACUGGGGUGAAGUCGUAACAAGGUAAC
rnacentral:rRNA from 1 species